rnacentral:rRNA from 1 species
AGUGAACGCUGGCGGUAGGCCUAACACAUGCAAGUCGAACGGCAGCACAGUAAGGGCUUGCUCUUACGGGUGGCGAGUGGCGGACGGGUGAGGAAUACAUCGGAAUCUACCUUUUCGUGGGGGAUAACGUAGGGAAACUUACGCUAAUACCGCAUACGACCUACGGGUGAAAGCAGGGGAUCUUCGGACCUUGCGCGAUUGAAUGAGCCGAUGUCGGAUUAGCUAGUUGGCGGGGUAAAGGCCCACCAAGGCGACGAUCCGUAGCUGGUCUGAGAGGAUGAUCAGCCACACUGGAACUGAGACACGGUCCAGACUCCUACGGGAGGCAGCAGUGGGGAAUAUUGGACAAUGGGCGCAAGCCUGAUCCAGCCAUACCGCGUGGGUGAAGAAGGCCUUCGGGUUGUAAAGCCCUUUUGUUGGGAAAGAAAAGCAGCAGGUUAAUACCCCGCUGUUCUGACGGUACCCAAAGAAUAAGCACCGGCUAACUUCGUG